AUUAGAGUUUGAUCAUGGCUCAGGACGAACGCUGGCGGCGUGCCUAAUACAUGCAAGUCGAGCGAAUCUGAGGGAGCUUGCUCCCAAAGAUUAGCGGCGGACGGGUGAGUAACACGUGGGUAACCUGCCUGUAAGAUUGGGAUAACUCCGGGGAAACCGGAGCUAAUACCGGAUAACAUUUUGAACCGCAUGGUUCAAAAUUGGAAGAUGGCUUUUGCUAUCACUUACAGAUGGACCCGCGGCGCAUUAGCUAGUUGGUGAGGUAACGGCUCACCAAGGCAACGAUGCGUACCGACCUGAGAGGGUGAUCGGCCACACUGGGACUGAGACACGGCCCAGACUCCUACGGGAGGCAGCAGUAGGGAAUCUUCCGCAAUGGACGAAGUCUGAACGGAGCAACGCCGCGUGAACGAUGAAGGCCUUCGGGUCGUAAAGAACUGUUGUUAGGGAAGAACAAGUACCAGAGUAACUGCUGAGCCUUGUCGG
rnacentral:rRNA from 1 species